ensembl:lncRNA
AUGAGGAGAGAGAGGAGGAAGCAUGGUGGACAGCCUUUGAGUGAAGAUCAACAUGAAGAACAUGAUCUUCUGUAUUCUGUAAUGUUGAGCAAACUUGACUUUAAAAGCUGCAGGACAAAUGCCUUCUAUGAUCUUGGAACUACCAUCUUUCCUCUUCUCCUAUUAUGUCUGGAUCACCAUUCCUUCUUCCCCAACUUUUUAACAAAUUAGGACAAGAGAAUACAAAAAGAACCGUUGCACAGUGCCAAAGAAGCCCAAAGCUAAAUUGUGCAGUGCCAAUUGAGCACAAGGUCAAAGUGAUCCAGAAAUCCUGAUGGGAUUCAUGAAAAUUUUGAGCCAAGACAAGAGGACUUUAACUUGUUUGGGGUUUGAGGUUGUAGCUGUUUAACAUGUGUUAAAGGCAGGUCUUCCUUGUCCCACAUUCUACCAAGUAUCUCAAAUUUGGCUCCUAUCUGGCUCCUAUUAUCUAGUCCCUUUUCUGUCUUUCAUGGUGUGACAAACUUUCUAUAGUUCUGGAUACUGAUUGGGUAAAUGUAUAAUUGCUUAAAUCAUUUUAAUUGGGCCCUGAUUCAAGGACCUGUUAUAGAUUUGUUUUUCCUUUACUUAGAAUUUUUACACAAAUGACUUUGAUAGUCUAUGUUUCAUCCAGAAAUUAUUUUUUAUUUGGAUUUUCAAAAAAUAUAUUUUAUUUAUCUUGCCUAUUGAUUCAUAUACCUCAUAACUCAGCCAUGCAUUCCUAAGUGAUUCCUGGGUUUUUCAACACCCUCUUCGGGAAGGGUGUGUGUAAAAUUAUUAUUAUUUUAAAUUGCAAGUUUAAAUUCCUUUUGAGAGUAAUUUUAGGUUAAGAAACAUGCUACCUCUCUGAAUCCAGAAAGUGAACUGUUUGGAGAAGACACCAUGAAGAUGCCUCCACAGACUACAUGCUGCACAAGAAGGUCUAAAGUUAACUUUGGGAUGUGGUGAUUUGAACUGUGUGGGGCUUGAAUGCAUUUGUUUUGUAUGUAUACUCUUAUGUCAAAGGGGACUGCCCCCUAACUGGCUUUUUGUCAAUGUGCCUACUAAUUUUUGGUUUUGUUCUCUUCCUCUUAUACUCAAAUUAUUGCAAUUUCAAAGUUGGUAUGUUAACAAGACCCACUGGAGGGAUUAGUCUUCCACAGGUCUCAAGGGGAAUAUAUGAUUGAAAAUCUGUUACCCUAAAAAAGAACUACAUAUCCCAAGAGCCCACUGCCUUCCUAUCAUUAUGCACUUCCUGUAGACAGAGGAUAAAGGGCAUGGACUUUGGAGGCUCCUCCUCUCUCUGAUGGUGGUGAGUGGGGAUGGCUAAAAAUGGGCACAUGGUCUUUAUUUUGUAUCUUCUUUAUUCCUUGAUUUCUAAUGAUCAUUAAUAAAUCUCUUAAAAUAUAAUAUUAUUAUUGAGAUUUAAUUUUAACUUU